ACCACUAAAUUCAAUCCUCCUAAAACGAACUAAUUCCUAACCUAGCCACUGACUGCAGCGAGGUACCCACCUGAGGCUGUUACCUUUGCCUUCUGAUAUCGUUCAUACACUGAUAUCGGCUCCUGUCACAAGGCUUAACUUGCCCCACUGAAAUCGUCCAUAAGAUGGAAAAAGAAUUUGAGAUCCAUCAGGGAUGGUGGACUUUAAACCCUGGACCUCACAUAUGGGAAGGAAACGUCAAGGAUCUUCAGCACUUCUGCUAAAACUUAUUCGUAAUCCAAGAAUGCAGCAAGUAUGAGAGAAAGCAAGGCUCAUAACAUAUGAAAGGAAAGCCAAGACAACCAAUAGUCAAGUUGUAAAAAAUGUCUGUGUCAAUUUCCCAGCAGUGUGCUUCAUUUAGCCAUACUGUGCACAUUGUCAAUUAUGGAGUUGAGUAAUUUUGCAUUCAUUUUAAGUUAAUUCAGACAAUCAAUUAUGCUGAAACAUCUUCAAAAGCAAUAAUUCAGCAAUAAAAGUUUUCUUUUUAGCUA